UAGUUUUAGAAUCGUAUAGUU
ensembl:piRNA 21ur-7266 ncRNA